rnacentral:piRNA from 1 species
UGUUGGGUUUUUAAGUCCUACCUACA